rnacentral:rRNA from 2 species
GUUGGUAUUGAUGACACUGAGGGUCCACCUGUUCCCAUACCGAACACAGAAGUUAAGCUCAGCGGUGCCGAAAAUACUUGGCUGGAGACGGCCCGGGAAAAUAGGGAGAUGCCAACA